AGAGUUUGAUCCUGGCUCAGAAUGAACGCUGGCGGCGUGCUUAACACAUGCAAGUCGAACGAGAAAGGGAUUGCUUGCAAUCCUGAGUAGAGUGGCGCACGGGUGAGUAACACGUAGAUAAUCUACCUUUGAGCCUGGGAUAACUAAUCGAAAGGUUAGCUAAUACCGGAUGAGGUUAAUAGACGAAGGUUUAUUGAUGAAAGACUGCCUCUGCUUGCAAGCAGUUGUUUGAAGAUGAGUUUGCGGACCAUUAGUUAGUUGGUGGGGUAAAGGCCUACCAAGACGAUGAUGGUUAGCUGGUCUGAGAGGAUGAUCAGCCACACUGGAACUGAAACACGGUCCAGACUCCUACGGGAGGCAGCAGUGAGGAAUUUUGCGCAAUGGGGGCAACCCUGACGCAGCAACGCCGCGUGAGUGAAGAAGGCCUUUGGGUCGUAAAGCUCUGUCAAUCGGGAAGAAGUUAUAAGGGUCGAAUAGGCUUUUGUAUUGACGGUACCGAUGAAGGAAGCACCGGCUAACUCCGUGCCAGCAGCCGCGGUAAUACGGGGGGUGCAAGCGUUAUUCGGAAUUAUUGGGCGUAAAGGGCGCGUAGGCGGUUUUGUCGGUCAGAUGUGAAAGCCCGGGGCUCAACCCUGGACGUGCAUUUGAAACAGCAAGACUUGAGUACGGGAGAGGAAAGCGGAAUUCCUGGUGUAGAGGUGAAAUUCGUAGAUAUCAGGAGGAACACCGAUGGCGAAGGCAGCUUUCUGGACCGAUACUGACGCUGAGGCGCGAAGGCGUGGGUAGCGAACAGGAUUAGAUACCCUGGUAGUCC
rnacentral:rRNA from 1 species